rnacentral:lncRNA from 1 species
AAACAGUUCUGCUCAGUCAAUACUUUAAGGGGGAGCUUUAACCUGUAAAGGUUUCUGCUUUUUCCCCUCAACACUUCAAUGAGGCAGAAAAGAAAGGUCAGGGAUACAGCUAUCAUCAGGCCCUUCUUUUUUCUCUGGUGGGGGUAAGGCUGGAUAGAAGGGAAAAGCCAUUUCUCUCCCAGCUGUAGCCCCCCAUUUCAAACCAUUGGAUGAAGUUUGCACAAGAUGGACUGUUCUGCGGGAGGAAGAGGGCAAGGAAGGGGAACAAAGUAUAUCUCACCUUCCUUCCUCCUCCCUUCCUCUUUGUUCUGCUCCCUCCCUCAGGAUGAGGGCUCACAAAGUGAUGCCAGCCCUGUUGGAGGAAAGCAGAUUUUACGUUCUAUUUGCAUGACAAUUUUACUGUAUUUUUCUGAGCAAACACCUGUUGUGUAUGUGCCAGUUUGUUGGAAUUUAACCUCCUCCCUCCAAGUCUCUCCUGUCCUUGUCCCUGUUUCCUCUGCUCCUUUCAUUGAUUCCUGAUGUGAUUUUAUGAGAGACUCCUACCAGUCUGAGAGGGAACAUAUCCCAAGGAGAACCCAAACCAAUCACCCCAUAAACCUCAUUCCUUCUUCUUUCCAGUGUCCCCCUUUCCCUUGCUCCAAUUGUGGUCUCUCAGCUGCUUUUCACAGUCAUGUGUAUAAAGGGGUAUGUGUUAUAUACCAAAGGCCUGCUCUUUCUAGUGGCCAUCAUUUUUCCUUGUUAUUGAGGAACAGGAGUGAGGCCUGUCAAGAUGGGUCUUGUAAAAGAAAUGCUCCUUUGCCCUGGUUGCUCUUUCCCAAAAAGCAAGGUUAUGCUAGAGGGAAUGUGAAGUGCUUUAGCUGAGGGGAAACCUCUGAUACAUGGAAAGAAUAGGAUGAUAAAGGGACGAAGGGAAGAACAAGGAUUGAGUGCAGGGGUGAAGGUUCUCUGAGAGAAAGUAAGGGAAUAAGUCAGCAGUGCCUGGAGACAAAAAUCUGGGAAGACUUCAUGAUGAGCUGUGACCCCUCUCUGUAGGGCAGAGCUAAGUGCUACAGGGUGGGCACCUGCCAUCUGGGUAGGAGCUGGACCCAGGGCCCCAAAAGCACAUUUACCAUGCUUGUUGCUGACUGGAAAGCUCAGCUGCGUCAGGAAGGACACAGAGUCUCCUGGAGCCUGGAAAACAUCCCUUCCACCGUUAUCACCUCCUUCCACACAAGAUGCAGUCAAGAAGAGCCUCAUGGAGCCGUGUCCUCUUGUUGGAGUCAGCCUGCUGCUGUCCCAUUAUCUGAGCAGGAGGGAGCCUCCUCAGGAUGGCUUGGUGUGGGACAGACAUUUUGUGCCACCCCCCACCAGGCUAUGGGGUUUCCUGUAGGGCUGGUGGAUCCUGCCCCACCUCAGCCAUGCCCUGCCCAUCCUGUCUGAGCAGGUGUCUUUGGGUCCUUCCCUGGAGAAGGGCAGAGGGGAGCAUCUAUUGCGUCCCCCCUACACACGCACGCAUUCCCAACCCUGUCCCUCAGCCGCUUUGGCCUUGUACUGUGAGGGGCGUUCUCGGUCUGCCUCCCCUUGACUGUCCCCCCACGUGCCCUGGGGAGGUGUCUCCGUACCUGUCCCUGGCCAUCCUGCUAGGGCAGCUCUCUGCAGGGCUGCCCCAACCCACCCUGUCCCUGGAGAGAGGGCAUCUUCUGCCUGGCUUCUCCUUCUCCCCCUUCUCCCGCUCCUUAUCCUCCCUGCCCCUCCAGGGGUCAAAUUCCCUCCUCCCCCCUUUACAGCCCCCCUCCGUAUGCCCCAUCCUCGUGCAUUUGGCUUGGCCUUUGCCUCCCCCAUAGCUACCACCACCACUGUGAGGCCUUGCUCUUGGGCGGCCUGUCCCCACCGCCUGCUCUCCACCUUCCCUGGGGGGAAGAGGAAGAGUCUGUCCGGGUCAGGCCAGACCCUCCAGGGCUGGUACGGCUGGUCCAUCCACAAGCACAGCGUCUGGGGUGAGGGGGUGGGAAGGGGCGGGCAGCUGCCAGGCACAGAGAAGGGGGUGUCAGCCCUUGAAUGUAAGGAAGGGCCUGGGAGGCAGCUGCUGGGACUGGCUCCUUGUGGCCUCUUUGGUGUUCCUCCUUCCGUAACAACCCUGUGACCCCCCCGGUUGUGUAUGGACAAAUUUAUGUUGGAGUUACGUUCUUUACUUUCUUCUUCUUUUUUUGAAUUUAUUUUCUUUUCUUCUUUUAGAAUUGUAUUUCUUUCUUGUUCUUUUCUUUCUUUCUUUUUUUUUUCUCUCUUUCCUUCUUUUCCUGUUUUAAAACUGAAUGGCACGAAAUCGUUUUUCCUCAACUCGGAGAUUCCUGUAUGGAGAAAAUCAAUUUCUAUAUUUGCAAUAAAUUUCUUAUUUAAAAAAAAACAAAACCAACAAAAAACCUAAAAAAAAAAAAAUCAACAAGCAAAAA